UACGGGAGGCAGCAGUGGGGAAUAUUGCACAAUGGGCGAAAGCCUGAUGCAGCUAUGCCGCGUGUAUGAAGAAGGCCUUAGGGUUGUAAAGUACUUUCAUCGGGGAGGAAAAAACAAAACUAAUAAUUUUAUUUCUUGACGUUACCCGAAAAAGAAGCACCGGCUAACUCCGUGCCAGCAGCCGCGGUAAUACGGAGGGUGCUAGCGUUAAUCAGAAUUACUGGGCGUAAAGAGCACGUAGGUGGUUUUUUUAAGUCAGAUGUGAAAUCCCUGGGCUUAACCUGGAACUGCAUUUUGAAACUGAAAUACUAGAGUAUCGUAGAGGGAGGUAGAAUUCUAGGUGUAGCGGUGAAAUGCGUAGAUAUCUGGAGGAGUACCUGUGGCGAAAGCGGCCUCCUAAACGAAUACUGACACUGAGGUGCGAAAGCGUGGGGAGCAAACAGGGAUUAGAUACC
rnacentral:rRNA from 1 species